rnacentral:lncRNA from 1 species
UUUUGAUACAACGGCUCAGAAAUGGUCAAUUAAUUCCCGUAAAACUGUCGGAACCCCUCCCUCCAGACCUUAUAAACUUGUUUUAUUUCAUUCCCUAUCUCCCUCUGAUGAAAACCCUAGCCACCCUUAUAAACCCUCGCCAGCUCCGCCUUUCUCCACCGCCCGAAAAUUGUAUUACCGCAGCGUAGUACCUCCAAACCGCCUAAAAUCAACAACAUGAAAUCCCUUCACCCUCCUAUUCCUAUAUAUCCCAACUGUUUCUUUCGAACAAGUCUUGAAAGUCUCGAAUUUUAGAUCUAAAAGCCAAACCGUAGUUUUUUCUCUUUUGAUUUCCGGUCAAUUUCUGGGUUGUUUGAGCCCAAGAAUUCCAUUAGUCGACUGUUCUUGUUGAGAAAAGUCGAUUAAUGAUCAUUCAAGUUCAUUUUAUCCCAUUGAAGCCUGUCCGAGGUCUUGACUGGUCCAAAUUCGAAUCGAGUUUUGGUAAUUCUCUUUUCAUUCUUUUUCCUUUCUUCUUUUGUUUAUCUCUUUCAUCUUCAUUCUUCUUUUAGCCGUAUGUUUUAGGUAGUAGCAACUUUAAGGUUUCUCUUUUUCAUGACUGCUCAGCUUGUUAUUUGCAUCUGUUUAUUAGGUUAAUUAAAGAAUGCUAGAAUUUCAAUAUUUGAAGUAUAAUUUCAAUUGCAUAAGGUUAGAAUAAUUAGGUGAAUUUUUUAGGGGUUUUGAUAAAAUUAAUUGUUCUGUUUUCUUUUAUAUUUUGUUUCUCUCCUAUAUUCGUUUGUUUGAUAUUCAAUAUUUAGUUUAAAUUGAUUAGAAUAGUUUUAGGAGUUUAAUUUGUUUGGCCAAUCUCUGACUAGUCAUUAGGAAACCUUAGCCUUAGUUAAUCUGUUUAAUUGCAAACUAAUUAGGUUAAUUUCUAGGGUUCCUUUGCAUCUUCAUUCUAGUUCUUGUUAUUUGCUAAUUGGAUGUGUUAGUUGUUUAACUCAUCGUGUUUAAGGUAAAUUAGGUGGACCUCUUAAUUAAGAGUAAUUUAUUUGAAUUAAACCUUUAAUGCCCUUAAGCUUAAGAUUUAAUUUAAGAAUUAAAAAGACAUUGAAACAAGCCUAGGAACCCUAAUGCUGGAAUCCUCUAUAUUGUUUAGAAGGUUCCACAAAAUGGAAUUGUAUUCAGAAUUCAGGUCAAGACUGGUUAGGACAGAAAUAACUAAUAAAUGAAAGGGUAAAAACGAUUUUAUAUAAGGUCAUAAGAUUCUAGCAUUUUGUACAGAUGCUUCAUUAUUAGCAAAAAAAUACUGAAAUUGGAUGGACAAAAGAACAUACAGUUGUCAAAAGAUGUUGUACUAUUUGACCCUUAGAGAAUUUAAGGUACAAUAUGAUUUUUUGGUGCUAUUUUAGGGAUACUCUAUAAAAGAAAAAGGACUCCUUCAUACUGGACAGAUUUUCAGACCCUAAAAAACACUUAAAAAGGUUCAGCUCUACGGUUCCAUUGGAGUUGAUCAACUUAAGAAACGUUCGAGCUUAUUUCUGGGAUUUCUUGUUCUCUAAGUUAAAAUAUGGUUUAAGCUUUGGAGCUGAGUGGCUUGCUGUUGUAUGCUGGUGAUUACUAUUGAAGCUUUCUUGCUAAUUUCUUUUACUUCUCAGAGAUUUUUUCACUUUGUUCUUUGCUGCAUCCAAGUAUCUUCAUGAGCCCUGAAAUGACAAAAAUAAAGUUGUAACAUGUUGGCCUUGAAUAGAAGUUCGGAUCUUCUUAUGUGCUUGAUAUCAUUUGAAGCCCAAUCUAUUGGAGCUGGGGAGGAUAAUUUUGAGAUUGCUACAGCACUAAAUUAUGUUAAACUGGGACAAGUAGAACAUAGAGAAAUACCAAUUAAAUACACCAUGUUUCUUCGAGUUGAAACUAAUGACGAGUUAGCCCAAGUUUUCCGUAGUCUGUUUAAUUGGUUUAUUUGUACUUGGCAUAUUUUGAAGAUUUGAAUGACGAAGGCAUUUUGUUCUGCUAUCUAAACACUUUAUCCGCUGCUAAACCUUUUGAGCUUUAAUUAUUUUCUUUCAUACCCCUCUUUCAAAAUCAGUAACAAAAGUCAAAAAUGCAAGUGUGAGAAGGCAGUGAAAGGAAAGGAAAGAAAAUAAUGAAUAAGAAUGAAAAUGAAAAGAAAAGAGAAAAGAGAAAAGGAAAAAAUAAAGAAAUAAAAAGAAAACAAAACAAAGUAAAAAAAGAAACGAAAAAAAGAAAGAAAAAAAGGAAAAUAGACAAAAACAAGGAAUCAGUAUGAAUUACGUUAGACUUGAUUCCUUUUAAGGAUACGUAGAGAGCCUCACAAUUCGGUCUCAUCAAAAUAAAAAUCCAAAAGUUCCCAAGCAGGAAACUAGGCAAGAAGUUGUGGUUGUUGUAAUAAUCUGAUUCCAAAAGUUGUAGUUUUGAACUCAUUUGAAUUGCUUUGAGCCUUUGAUACCCUUUCCUUCUAACCCUAUCCAAAGCCCACGUUACGAUCCAAAAGAUAGACCUUCUGACCAGUCUUCAAGAGAUGCCAAGUUGAGCAAGUAGAGGUGAUUCAUGACAGGGGCAAUACUCUGGUCCAAGCAGGAAAGAUAAUAAAAAUGAGAGAGUCUUAUUGGUGAAAACAGUCAUGAGCACCGUAAGGCAACGGGAGCUGAGAGAAAUAAAAAAUGAGAGACUCUUAUUGGUGAAAACCUUCACGAGCACCAUGAGGCGAUGGUGAGUUGAAAAAAAAAGAAGGAGGCUCGAUUGUGAAAGCCCUUCAGGCACCACAAGUCGAAUAAGGAUCGUAAAUCAGAUUGGAGAAUCGGAACAUUGAAGCAGAGUUUCAUGGCGAAGAGGUGCAAUACGAGUUGAACAUCAGACCCGCUUGAAAGAAUAGGCCACAGGUGCAUGUCAUGGUCAUUAGAGUUGGUACCCGCAUUUUAUAGGUUUCUACUUUUUAGUUUGUUUGUUAGGAAUCAUCUGCUUUCAUUGUCCUCUACUAUGCUCCUUUUGUCUUGAUAACUUCCUCUUCAUAAGUCUGUUCGGCCAAAACAAGUGAGAAAUGACUUCAAAAUCUGCCACCAGCUUUCCAAUUGCAAAAAACGGGAUCUGUUUGUCACAUCAAAGUAUCAUAAGUCAGGAAAGAACAGCAAACACAUUGAGUUGGUAACAAAUAAUAUGCUUUAGGAUUCGUCUGAAAUACAAAGGCUUGGUAUAUAUCAAUUUAUGAACAAUGCAUCAGAAUGAGGGCUAGGGUGAAUGGAUCAAAGGUGUUUUGUAUGACAAAAAGAGGGGUAAAUCAGUGACAAGCAAGAUCCUCCAAGAAGGAAUCAAAGAUAUCAUGGCUAGCAAUGGAGCAAUAGACCUCAAGGUCAAAGCCGAUGGUUUGAGUCAAGAAAGAACAUCAUACACACUGAGGUUGGUAGCAAUUAAUAUGCUUUGCGGAUCAUGUGAAACACAAAGAUUUGGUAGAUGUCGGUUCAGGAGCGAUGCAAUAGAUAGAAGGUAUUGGGUUCAAACGAGAAGAGGUAUUUUUUGGGUUAAGGUUUGCAAAGGAAGUGGUUAGUCAAGGAACAAGUAGGGUCUUCGAAUGAAAAUCAAUUAUCAUGACAAGAAAGAGCAACAAAGGUCAAAUCCAGUGGUUUAAGUCAAUAAAGAACAGCAUACACACGAAGUGGGGGCGUGCUUUAAGAUUCAUGUGAGACACAAUGGUUGGGUAGGUGCCAGUUCAUAAGCAAUGCAAUAAAUAGAGGUAUUGGGUUUGAAUAGAGAAGAGGUAUUUUCUGUGAUAAGGGUGACAGAGAAAUUGGUUAGUCAAUAAGCAAGCAACAUCUUUCAAGGUGAAAUCAAAGUUACCAUGGCAAGUGAAGGAGCAUAGCACAAAUAUGGGGAGGCAGAGUAAAACCAUAAGGGCUCAGGUGUCAGCCGAACAUAGCACACUGACCGGGUAAUCUCAGAAAAGAUGUAAGGAUUCCAGUGAAAGUGUAAGAAGUGCAACACAAAGAUGGGAAAGGCCACAAAGGUUAGCCAAAUAUAGUAAACUGAUUCGAGAGGCAAGAAUUCUAGCAAGAGGGUCAGAAGUGCAACACAAAGAUAGGGGAGCAGAGUAAAGCCACAAGGUUCAGGGGUUAGCCAAGCAUCAUAAACUGACUCGGUAAUCUCAGGAAAGGAUGUAAGAAUUCUAGCAAGAGGGCCAGGAGUGUAACACAAUAACGGGGGAGUAAAGUAAAGCCAUAAAGAUUUGGGGGUCAGCCAACCAACUCAGGCAACUCAUCAUCAACAUGGAAAAUUGAACACAACAGAACACGACAAUGGGGAAGCCGCUUCAAAAAAUAACACCGCAAGCUAACCACCACUUUUCAAACUGACAAGUUUUCUUUGAUUGACACAGGGGCAGAAAAAUUCCGGAAGAUCCUAAGAGAGGCCAUCCACAGGGGAAGGCAAGCACAUGGCAGGUAUGAUCAAAAUCUCAGGGCACUCCUGGAAAGUGGGACCCAGUUAAAUCUCAAAAAGGAACAUAAUCCAACACAAAUAUUCUCCCCAGCAAGAGUAUAAUGAAACGAAACUUUAAUUGACAGUGGGGAGGCCGCUUCCAACAAGAAUGCCGCAAGCUAACCACCACUUUUCAAACUGACAAGUCUUCUUUGAUUGACACAGGGGUAGAAAAUUUUUGGAAGAUCUUAAGGUAGGCCAUCCACAGCGAAAGGCAGGAGCAUGGCAGGUAUGAUCAAAAUCUUAGGGCCCACCUGGAAAGCGGGUCCUAGUUAAAACUGAAAAAAGAACAUAAUCCGUCACAAAUAUUCUCUCCAGCAAGAGUAUAAUGGAACAAAACUUUAAUUAGCAACCCCCAGCGGAGACAAUCGAGAGUUAAAAGGAGCAUGCAAGCUGAAAUUCUCAAGAUUCUCUUGGAAAUGGGACUCAAUUUAAAACUCAAACAGUUGUGGGUAACAUAGGCAAGCACAAACACCUUCCCCAGUAAGAGUCGUCGGAACUCGCCUGAACAAUGAUCCCCAGUAGAAACAACAUGAAGUUAGAAUUGGCAUUUAAUCUGAAACCCUCAGGACACUCCUAGGAAAUGGGAUUUAUUUAAAGGUUAAAGGUAAUCUUGGAUAGAGAAGGUCAUAAAAUGACUUGCAUGUUGAAAUAGGAUUAAGUUAAGAGUUGUUAGAACCCUCCUGAAAAAUGGGACUUAGCCUGAAACAUAAACAAGCACAGGUAACAUGGGUAGGCACAAAUAAUUCCCAAACAAGAGUCGUCAGGACCCGCUUGAAUAAUGGGAUGUAGCUCUAGAUACUAAUCCCCAGCAGAUACAUUUGGCCAUCUAAUUAAGAGUUGUCGAGACCUUUACAAAUAAUGGGAAGUAGCUUCAAUCACCGGUCCCCCAGUAGAUCCCCAGCAGAUAUAACUUGGAUAACAAGACAUACUGAAAAAUAAUACUUUUCGAGAACACAAUCUAAUUUUUAAGUUGUCAUGGGAUUUGAUAAACACUCACAGAUGCAUCCAAAACCAAACUGGGGAAGAAAGAAUUUCUCUUAUUUAGUUUGUUUUGUUGUGAUCAGGUACACAAGCAGUAGUCCCAAGGGAAUAUUUUUAUAGUUGCAAGUUUGGUAAUCAGGCGCCCACCUGGAGAACAAGGGAAUAUUUUUUCAAAUUUCAAGUCUUGGUAAUCAAGCGCUCACCUGUAGAACAAGGGAAUAUUUUUCAAAUUUCAAGUCUUGGUAAUCAAGCGCUCACCUGUAAAACAAGGGAAUAUUUUUCAAAUUUCAAGUUUUGGUAAUCAGGCGCUCACCUGGAGAACAAGGGAAUACUUUUCAAAUUUCAAGUUUUAGUAAUCAGGCGCCCAUCUUUAGUGCAAGGUAAUAUUUUUCAAGUUUCAAGUCUUGGUAAUCAGGCGCCCACCUGUAGAACAAGGGAAUAUUUUUCAAGUUGCAAGUNNNNNNNNNNNNNNNNNNNNNNNNNNNNNNNNNNNNNNNNNNNNNNNNNNNNNNNNNNNNNNNNNNNNNNNNNNNNNNNNNNNNNNNNNNNNNNNNNNNNNNNNNNNNNNNNNNNNNNNNNNNNNNNNNNNNNNNNNNNNNNNNNNNNNNNNNNNNNNNNNNNNNNNNNNNNNNNNNNNNNNNNNNNNNNNNNNNUUUCAAGUUUUGGUAAUCAGGCGCCCACCUGUAGAACAAGGGAAUAUUUUUCAAGUUUCAAGUCUUGGUAAUCAGGCUCCCACCUGUAGAACAAGAGAUUAUCUUUCAAGUUGCAAGUCUUGGUAAUCAGGCGCCCACAUGUAGAACAAGGGAAUAUUUUUCAAGUUGAAAGUCUUGGUAAUAAGGAACUCACAUGUAAAACAAGGGAAUAUCUUUCAAGUUGUAAGUCUUGGCAAUCAGGCGUCCACCUGGAUAACAAGGGAGUUUUUUUCAAAUUUUAAAUUUUGGUAAUCAGGCGUCUACCUAGAGAACAAGGGAAUAUUUUCCAAAUUUCAAGUUUUGGUAAUCAGACGCUACCUGUAGAAUAAGGGAAUAUUUUUCAAGUUUCAAGUCUUGGUAUCAGGCGCAUAUCUGUAGAACAAGGGAAUAAUUUCAAGUUGUAAGUCUUGGUAAUCAAGCACCCACCUGUAGAACAAGGAAAUAUUUUUCAAGCUGCAAGUUUGGUAAUCAGGCGCCCACCUGGAGAACAAGAGAAUAUUUUUUAAAUUUCAAGUCUUGGUAAUCAGGCGGUCAUCUGUAGAACAAGGGAGAUAUUCCAAAUUUCAAGUUUUGGUAAUCAGGCAUCCACCUGGAGAACAAGGAAAUAUUUUUCAAAUUUCAAGUUUUGGCAAUCAGGCGCCCACCUGGAGAACAAGGGAAUAUUUUUCAAAUUUCAAGUUUUGGUAAUCAGGCGCCCACCUGUAGAACAAGGGAAUAUUUUUAAGUUUCAAGUCUUGGUAAUCAGGCGUCCACCUGUAGAACAAGGUAAUAUUUUUUAAGUUGUAGGUCUUGGUAAUCAGGCGCCCACCUGUAGAACAAGGGAAUAUUUAUCAAGUCGCAAGUCUUGGUAAUCAGGCGCCUACCUGUAGAACAAGAAAAUAUUUUUCAUGUUGUAAGCUUUGGUAAUCAGGCGCCCACCUAUAGAACAAGGAAAUAUUUUUUAAGUUGCAGGUUUUGGUAAUCAGGUGCCCACCUGGAGAACAAGGGAAUAUUUUUCAAGUUGCAAGUCUUGGUAAUCAGGCACCACUAGUAGAACAAGGGAAUAUUUUUCAAAUUUCAAGUUUUGGUAAUUUGGCGCCCACCUGGAGAACAAGGGAAUAUUUUUUAAAUUUCAAGUUUUGGUAAUCAGGCGUCCACAUGUAGAACAAGGGAAUAUUUUUCAAGUUGCAAGUUUUUGUAAUCAGGCACCCACCUGUAGAACAAGAGAAUAUUUUUCAUGUUGCAAGUCUUGGUAAUCAAGCGCCCACCUGUAGAACAAGGGAAUAUUUUUAAAGUUCCAAGUCUUGGUAAUCAGGCGCCACCAAUAGAACAAGGGAAUAUUUUUCAAGUUGCAAGUUUUGGUAAUCAAGCGCCUACCUGUAGAACAAGGGAAUAUUUUUUAAGUUGUAAGUUUUGGUAAUCAGGCGCCCACCUGGAGAACAAGGGAAUAUUUUUCAAGUUGCAAGUCUUGGUAAUUAGGCGCCCACCUGUAGAACAAGAGAAUAUUUUUUAAGUAGCAAGUUAUGGUAAUUAGGCGCCCACCUGGAGAAUACGGAGCUGGUAUGAGAGACCAUCAACAAACCUCCUUAUCCUCUCUCGAUCGAUGGGAACCAACCAAACUGCAUCUCGGGCUAACUCAGGGAAUCACAUCUCAUACUGCGUCACCAUCAUUUCCCCCUGAAUCAACUGCGUAAACUAUCUACGCAACUCCUUUCGGCGCGACUAUGGCACAUACUUCUCCAGGAAGAGAACAUAGAACUAAUACCACCCAAGGGGUUCUACACCAGCAGGCCUACACCUCUAAUACGCCUCCCACCAAGUGAAGGCAGCCCCAGAAAACUAAGUUCAAGAAUCCAAAACUUCCAAAACUAACCUCUCAUGCACCUCCCACCAAAGGUGGUAAACUCCACACCACUAGUCUCAAGAAUCCCUUUUGUACGAAGCAUCCGCUGGAACUUAUCCAAGAAACCUUGGGCAUCCUCGCCGUCUACACCGCUGAGUGUCAGAGGCUGGAGUCUACCAAACCUCUCAAGUCGAUGCUACUUAUCAUCUGGAAAAAUUGGUACUACAAACUCCUUAACUGGUGCAACCGGCUGGGCUGGAGGUGCCCCCGGUGUCUGAAGUCCCUACACAACCUGAUCAGGUGUGCGAGUAACGGGAGUCUGGAUCCCCUCCCCCCUCUCCCCCACCCCUGAUUUGUGAAGUAGUUGCGAUUAUAGUAGCUGAAGUAGCCUGAGCCAAAGCGGUACACACUGAUAAGAUAUGAGCUAAAGCCUCCUGGAGGCUUAGAAUCACGAUAGGCACAGUUGUGCCUGAACUGGUGCUGAUGGAGCAUCCACAGCUAGAGCAUGAUCCUGAGCUGGGGCAGCUGGUGGAUUAACAGGUGCUGCCCUCGCUACUCUACCUCUGCCACGACCACGACCGCGUCCACGACCUCUGGUGGCCUCAGCUGGUGGCACUGGUGGUCGUCCACCCCGUCCGAUAGCACGUUUCCUCACCAUCUAUGAGAGAAUAGAAUAAUAGAAGUUUAGUACUCGGACCGACAAGUUUGCAUGACAAGAAUUUCAAGAAUAUGAAGUUUUUCCUAAAGGUUCUACAGCCUCUCGAGGAUAAAUAUAUACGUCUUCGUACCGAUCUGCGAGACACUACUAAACCGACUCAUGACUCGCGAGACUUAUAUAACCUAGGCUCUGAUACCAACUCGUCACGACCCCAAUUACCGGUCGUGAUGGAGAAUAUCACAUUACUAGGCAAGCCGAUAGAAACCAUAACCACAACCCAUUUGCUAUUAACAUAAACCCAUUUCUAGCACAAGAUUUAAAUGCGAAAUUCUUUAUAUGUAUCAUAAUGUUAGAUAUAUGUAGAAAAUUGAAACAACAAAUACUAGUUAGCCCUAACAAUCUGGUGUCUAGAGCCUGUAAUACAUAACUGAACAUCUAGUACGUCAAGUCUAGGAAAUGCGAUAAAUAAACUAGAUAGAGAGGAGAAGCAGAACUACGGAUGCCAUGCAGCUACCUCGUAAUCUCCGGCGAACACUGAAUCAGUAGAAGGCCCUCACUCUGGCCCUCAGGCACCUAGAUUUAGGCACAAGGUGCAAGGAGUAACGUGAGUAUGCUAACUAAGUAACUAAAGUAAAUAAUGGACUGAAAGCAGUUACGAGCAUUUUAAAACAUAUAACUAAAAUAGAAACAGGAUUAUAGCUCAACUUUAUCGUUUAAAACCAGUUUUCGUCAAAAAAUCUACACUUUCAGCUUAAAACUUGAAAUGAUAUACUUAGCAGUAUUUUCCAACAGAGGCUUAGUUUUAAAGGAAACGUGAAACAGUGAAAACAGCAGAGCAAGGCCCCUCGGGCAAAGAAUCACUCAGAAUACAGCCCCUUGGGCAGCCUCUUGGUCGCUCGUGACUCACCUCUCGUCACACAGUACUCGCUCUCAAUACUCGGCUCAUUUAUAAUCUCAUAAUAUUAGAAUUAUAGUAACUGCUGCAGCGUGUAGCCCGACUACGUUCCAUAUAUUUAUAUCAAAUAUAUAUCACAGCGGUAUGCAUCCCCAUCCAUAUAAGUAUCACUGCGGCAUGAAGCCUGAUCCAUAAUAUGUAUACAUAUAAUAUCCCCACCAUGGGGUUCUUAACCUCUCUGUCAUAAGCGUCACAGCCUCUCAGGCAUCACAACAGAAAUUAGGGAACUCAGCCCAAACACUUCUCACAAUAGGAGUAGAAUGAUAAAACCAGUUUUAAAUAUUUAAUAGGUAAAACAUGACUGAGGAUAUGCUUUUUAACAAGCAAAGUGAGGAAAAAUGGUUAAAGUGCCCCAAAGGGUUUCUACAUAUCGGCACAAGACCCAAAACAUGGCAUAAACCCAAUAAUACAGUAUAAGGAUCCAAAAUUCGGAAUAAUAUAGCACGUUCAAAUAAAAUACGCAGCUUAAUAGUCUCUAUGAGAUGGACCAAGCCACAAUCUCCUACCAAUGCAUGCCCACACGCUCGUCACCUAGCAUGUGUGUCACCGCAUUUAUCAAAUCAAGUCAAAUAUCAGGGUUUGUACACUCAGUUCCGCAUUUAUAAUGGUUACUUACCUCAAACCGG